AAAAAGUACUCCGCAAAAUUAAGAAGGCAUGAUUCCCACAACAAUAAUAAUAAUAAUAAUAAUAAUAAAAAUACUUUCCACUUUCCAAUUCCAACCUGCAAAUAAUCAACCGACUCUUCAUACCCCAACGGCCCAACCAACUCAGCGAUCGUAUACUUUUCUCUUUCUCUUGGCUCACACCAAAUCCCUCCUCUGUCCUCUCUCCACCCAAACCCCUUUCUCAGAUCACACCUCACUCGCCGGUCGGUAUGGCUUUAGCACACCUCACUUCCUCUUCCAGAUCUAAUCUCCUAAAACCCCUCGCCACCGUCUUAUCCUACACUGAUUCUUUCCGCCGUCCGAUCUCCACCUCCACCGACCCCCUUACUAUCGAGACUUCCGUUCCGUUCACUUCUCACAAAUGCGAGCCUCCUUCCCGCUCCGUCGAGACCACUCCUCAAGAGCUUAUUUCUUUCUUCCGCGACAUGGCUACGAUGCGCCGGAUGGAGAUCGCCGCCGAUUCUCUUUACAAGGCCAAGCUUAUCCGUGGGUUCUGCCACCUCUACGAUGGCCAGGAAGCGGUCGCUGUAGGGAUGGAAGCUGCUAUCACUAAAAAGGAUUGCAUCAUUACAGCAUACCGGGAUCACUGCACGUUCGUUGGCCGCGGUGGGACACUUCUCGAGGUCUUUUCGGAGCUCAUGGGACGCCAAGCGGGUUGUUCGAACGGGAAGGGUGGGUCAAUGCAUUUCUACAGGAAGGAUGCAGGGUUUUAUGGAGGACACGGGAUCGUUGGAGCUCAGGUUCCACUAGGAUGUGGAUUGGCUUUCGCUCAAAAGUAUUCUAAGGGCGAGACUGUUACGUUUGCUUUGUACGGAGAUGGUGCGGCUAAUCAGGGACAGUUGUUCGAGGCGCUUAAUAUCUCUGCUCUUUGGGAUCUGCCUGUCAUUUUGAUCUGCGAGAACAAUCACUAUGGUAUGGGGACGGCGGAGUGGAGAGCGUCUAAGAGUCCCGCUUACUACAAGCGUGGGGAUUACGUUCCUGGCCUGAAGGUAGAUGGCAUGGAUGCUCUUGCUGUCAAACAAGCAUGCAAAUUUGCAAAGGAGCAUGUCUUGAGGAAUGGGCCAAUUAUACUUGAAAUGGAUACCUACAGGUAUCAUGGUCACUCCAUGUCUGAUCCUGGCAGCACCUACCGUACUCGUGAUGAGAUUAGUGGCGUGAGACAGGAACGUGAUCCAAUUGAAAGGAUAAGAAAAGUGAUAUUAGCUCACGAUCUAGCUACAGAGAAAGAGCUAAAGGAUUUUGAGAAAGAAAUAAGGAAAGAGGUAGAUCAAGCCAUUGCUCAAGCCAAGGAAAGUCCGAUGCCAGAACCCUCAGAACUUUUUGCAAAUGUGUAUGUGAAAGGUCUAGGAACUGAGGAUAUCCUUUGAAUCAAGGACACUGGAAUGUGAAACUGCUCUACUCUUCAGAGUGAAAGAGGAAAAUUUGAAUAGCAUAAGCAUUUGGAGCAGAUAGGAAAGAAGUCAGAGCUGUGCUUCCAUAACUGAAUAUAAGCAGAAAGUGUUAAACAAGCCGCACUUCUCAAAAUCCUUUUUCCAAACAAAAAUUAUCCGAAAAUGAUAUCAAAUAAAUGUUAGCAAGGAUGGGAAUCUCCUGCAGGCUAAGAAUUUGUUUUUCACAAUUUUGUAUAGAAUACUAAUUCUUCUCAAGUUGUGGGUUGGAAUUGUUUGUGUAGUUUUAUUUGGAGGAGCUAUGGUUGGGUAAAUGUGAUCAUCAAUUGAAUAGGUUGCUGAUGUGCUCUGAGGUAGCAAGAAUAUUCAUUGAUAUGACCUUUUUUUUUUGUGGUUUUCUGCUCAUUUUCCAUUAGAUUAUGGCAAAAAUAAGCACUUUUUUUUAUCAUUUUGCCAAUAAGAGAUGUAUUGCCCAGCCCUUAGAUAUAUGAAUGCGAUUAAAAAUUUUAUGCCUUGUUGCGCUGGCAACUUGUUUUUGUGAUGAUGCACCUUAGAUUGAAAGGAAAAAUAAAGCUUUUUUUGACU